AUUUGCAUAAUCCUAACAGUGCUAUCAAGAACUUAAAAUAGAGAUAAAACAAGCAUUUGCAAUGUGACUAAUUGCAGCGAGUGAUCAAGCUUAAUAUAAUAUUCAUGAAUAAUAAUACUAGUAUUUCUUAUAUAUAGUUCUUACAGUCUUAGUUACUGCUAUUUUGCGAUGCUAUUAAUUUGCCAAUGAUUUGAAAUAGGCGUAAGUUUGAAGCAAGUCCAAUCCAUUAUUGUCAUCAAUCAGCAGCCGGAGAAACAAGACUUUCCCAUCAGAAACACUUUGACAAAAGACAUAUUCAAAGGAAGCACAAAACGAAAGGACAACAUGAAAGUCUGCUCAUUAAUUUGACAUGUAGGGAAGGUGUGACUGGGAAAGCAGGGGGAGAAAACAUCUUCACACCUCGAGCAAAUCUGACAUCAGGGGAGGGUUGCAGUUUUAAAGUUGUUAACUGUGAUUAACUUGAAUCAAAUUAAGAAGUCCACACCGAAUGACUGAAUGUAAUUCAGAUUAAGGAAAUGACGCCCUAUCGAAAGCAAACGAUGUGAAUUUUGGAUUGUUAUUAACUUAGUCAUGCAACAAAGAUAUGCAGUGAAGAACAAAACAACAUCAAGGGUGAACAAGGGCAGUUUAUAUGACUAGUGGGAAGGUUAGCCCAUCUACCACAGUUUAUAGUAUUUACAACAAAGAUAUGCAGUGAAGAACAAAAUAGCAUCAAGAGUGUACAAGGACAGUUUAUAUGACUGGUGGGAACAUUAGCCCAUCUACCACAAAUCAUAGUAUUUACAACGAAGUUAUGCAGUGAAGAACAAAAUAA